rnacentral:rRNA from 1 species
GUAAUACGUAGGUGGCGAGCGUUAUCCGGAAUGAUUGGGCGUAAAGGGGGCGCAGGCGGUUGUAUCAGUCUGAAGUAAAAGGCAUCGGCUUAACCGAUGUAAGCUUUGGAAGCUGUAUAACUAGAGUGCAGGAGAGAGCAGUGGAAUUCCAUGUGUAGCGGUAAAAUGCGUAGAUAUUUGGAGGAACACCAGUGGCGAAGGCGGCCUACUGGGCUUUAACUGACGCUGAGGCACGAAAGCGUGGGGAGCAAACAGGAUUAGAUACCCCAGUAGUCCACGCUGUAAACGAUGAUAGCUAGGUGUGGGGGGUCUGACCCCUUCCGUGCCGGAGUUAACACAAUAAGCUAUCCACCUGGGGAGUACGGCCGCAAGGUUGCAAAAGGGAGGAAU